rnacentral:lncRNA from 1 species
UACGGAGACAAACAAAUACGGAUGGAAAUACAACGAGAGCGAAAUGGGAACCGAAAACUUACACCACGAUGACACGUUACGACUUACAGGAUAUACGUAAGCACAUACCAUCAGACGUGAGCUGCUGCCACAGGCUAGGUAGCAUUGUAGGCAGAGCCAACACCAGCAGCGACUUUUCAAACAACUGAACCGAGGCCCGCCGCUGCCCCACACGCGCACAAAACUGUCGCCCUCGCCUGCUUCCCUCCAACCUUCGCACGUAUCACCACCACGCGCGAUC